AUGUCACCUCUGCCAGCCGCGUCCAGCACGGACCCGGCCUGCGGCAGCCCAGCCUCCRCGCUGGGUCUCUGGGGAAGCUGCCUCACGGGCGGCACCUCCCGACUGCAGGUCCCCAGGCCAGUGGGGAUCCGGCUCCGGCCCACGGAAAAUGUGCCCGAAAGGCAUCCGGUCCUGAUGGUGACACAUCCUCUGCAAGRGCAGUGCUGCACGGGACCAGCCCCCAGCUGCCCCCGACCUGCCCCUGCCUCUUCCAGCCAGGAGCUCUGCGGCGUCUGGUGCACCUGCGGGAUCUGCAGGCAGCCUGGGCAGUCCAUGGGCAGCCUGCGGGGUCUGCAGGGUCUGCAAGGUCCAUGGGCAGCCCGUGGGGUCUGCAGGGUCUGCAAGGUCCUUGAGCAGCCCGUAGGGUCUGCAGGGUCUGCAAGGUCCACGGGCAGCCUGCGGGGUCUGCAAGGUCCAUGGGCAGCCCGUGGGGUCUGCAAGGUCCAUGGGCAGUCCGUGGGGUCUGCAGGGUCUGCAAGGUCCAUGGGCAGCCCGUGGGGUCUGCAAGGUCCAUGGGCAGCCUGCGGGGUCUGCAGGGUCUGCAAGGUCCUUGAGCAGCCCGUAGGGUCUGCAGGGUCUGCAAGGUCCAUGGGUAACUCAUGGGGUCUGCAAGGCCCAUGGGCAGCCUGUAGGGCCUGUAGGGUCUGCAAGGUCCAUGGGCAGCCUGUAGGGUCUGCAGGGUCUGCAAGGUCCAUGGGCAGCCCAUGGGGGUCUGCAGGGUCUGCAAGGUCCAUGGGCAGCCCAUGGGGUCUGCAGGUCUCUGGGCAGCCCGCGGGGCCCCUGGGCCCCCUUUUCCCUUCGGCUCCCGAAGCUCCCGUGAGAGGCGGCACUGCCAGCUCCUUCCUCCGGGCAGCAGCGGCCCCGCGGAGCUGCCGGGCGCUGGAUGAACAGCGGGAUUGUUCUGCGGCUCCCGGCACCGUGCAGCCGYGGCACGGGGCAGCCGCAGGCGCCAGCGCAGCCGCCGGGGUGGCACCGCUCAUGGGGGGGACGACGGGGGAGGCUGGUGGCUGGCGGCCCGGCUCCCGCUGCCGGGGCACAAAGCGCCUCUAUCGCUCGCUCCCCGCUGGCAGCUCCACGUGCUCCGCGCAAAGCCCGGCGCAGAGCCGGCCCGAGCAGCGGCUGCACCUCCCGAACGCGCUGCGGAAACACGGGGGCACCAGCAGCCCCCAGACCUGGGCAGCAAAGCCGGGAGAGCAGGAACCCAGCACGUCCCAGCGCUCCCAGUGCUCCGCAGGCAGCGAGGGGCAGUGCCGGGGGGCUGCCCUCCUGCCGCCGGGCGGGCACGCAGCCGCCGCGAGCCCCCGCGGUGCCGAGCCCCGGAGGAGCCGGUGCUCCACGUCCAGGCCAAGGGGACGGCGGAGGGAAGGAGCGGCCGGCACGGAGCUUCGGCGGUGCCCAGCGUGGGGCUGGUGGCCUUGGCGGAGGCUGCGCGGGGAGGGACGGCGGUGGGGCUGGGUGCAGGCUCAGAGGGACAGGGGACCCGGGGGCUCCRGUGUUUAG
rnacentral:lncRNA from 1 species